rnacentral:lncRNA from 1 species
CACUACUUUAUAGUUGGUACCUAUUUGUUUUUCUUCAAAUGUUUAUACUCAUAUUUCUGUUUUGUAAACGAUACGUAUAGUCGUGUAUAGAUACAUAUAAUCAAAUAUAUUCAUUCAACUGAACCCAUUUUUAUUUAUUGUUUUCACUGCCCAGUCAACAGAUUAUAGGUCCAGAUUACGAAAUAAACAAUAAACAAUUAAUAACAAUAAAUAAAGUAUAAUUAAAUUGAAAAAGCACGUGGGUUAAUUAUCCGGUCUUGAGCAAACGUGAAAUAAUCCUAAUCGUGAUGAAGAAUGAAAUUUUUCGUAUUAAUAAGCUGAAAGAAUUGGAAAAUUGGAUCUCAUAGAAAUUUCAAGUGCGCGUUACUUUGAAAUUCUACGGUGCAUGGGAAAUAGAUAGAGAUGAAUCAGUUCUUCUUGUACGAGAUGAUACGAUAAAUAGAGCAUGCGCUGCCUAGAUAAAACUCGAUAGUACAACUCCACGCAUAAUCGCUACAUCAGCGAAGAAAAACCAUUUUUGCAUAUUAUCAUUAACUGUGAAUCGGUUAAGGAUAUGUGGAAAUAGCUGGAGUCUGUUUACGAACAAAAGUUUGAUACUAAUGCAUACUAUUGUAGCAAUGGUACAAUUACCAGAAAGAACUAGGUGAUGAUGUUUAUUCACAUCAUAAAGCUCGAGAAUCUUGUACAUCAGCUGUAAACUCUGAGUGAGAAAAUUCCAAAACAAAUGAUUAUCACUAAAAUACUCGUAAUAUUACCUCCAUUAUUCAAAUAUUUUAUUAGUGCGUGGGAAUCAACUCAACUCAAAGAAAAAACUCUCACAAAUUUUAUUUCAAGACUCACCAUUGAGGAAACAAGAAUAAGAACCAAAGAAAGGGCAGAAAACAUUGCCUUUACUGCUAAUAAGCACCAAUGUAAAAAAAAUUUCAAAAAAGGCAACAUUAGAUCAGGAGUAUCUCAUUAUUGCUAUAAACAGAACAUUGGAUCAAGGAAUGCAGAAACUGAAAAGCAGCAACAUCAAAUGAAAAAUACACAGGAAAGAAAGGAAAGGCACUUGUUGAAGCUAUGUCUGCAAAAUAUAAUUUAGAAACAUCCAGUGAUGCACGGCAUAUGGAUUCGGGUGCGAUUGAGCACAUGUCAAAUCGUCGCAAAUGGUUCUCUUCAUAUAAAAAAUUCAACAGUAAAAAAUAUUAAGAUAGGCGAAAAUAUAUUCAAGCAAUUGGAUCAGAUAUCGACAUUCUUGCUUUUAAUAGAAAAGAUGGAUGCAACUCUUGACUACAACAAUACUCUGAUGACAAAAAAUAUACAUUCAUGAAGAAUGAAAAUAUUGUUGCAGUGGGGAAAUGGAAAGCACAAACGAAUGGUUCAUCAAAAUUUGGAUCAGGUGAAAAAAAUUCUAAGAUUCGAAAACAUUAUUUUUAAGGAUCAGAAGUUUUGCUGUGAUGAUUGCAUUCUAGCGAAAAUACACAGAUUAUUAUUCAAAAAAUGAUCAGAUUAUCAUUCAAAAAAUCUGAACGCAUGGAAAACUCAUCCAUGCAGAUCUUUCAAUCUAAAUUUAUAUUUUAUUAAAAAUAAAUCAGAAACAUCAUGAUGUCUAGAGGAUUUCUUCAAGAAGACUAAUAAGCAUUUAGAAAAAGGAAUCAAGAUCUUUAGAUAGGAUAACUGCCUUGAAUUGGCCAAAAAAAUUGAAGAAAUGUCGAUAUGGCAUUACGCAUUGAUUGCAAUGAUCUUUAUUUUGAUUAAUAAAGUUUUGUUUGAGCUGAAA